rnacentral:tRNA from 1 species
GGGGUCGUAGCGAAGCCAGGCAUCGCAACGGGCUCCAGACCCGUAGGUCAAGGGUUCAAUUCCCUUCGGCCCCA